AUUCUUUAUUUUCCCUUCAGGAAAGUGGGUUGUGCUUAAAUAAAUUAAUUUAAGUCGGUACAUCGUUAAUGCUGGUGUAUAAUUAGAAGUGGGGAGCAGCAUCUGCGUUGCUGUACAGCCCUGAUGGGGUUGUGCCUCUGACGUGGCUGUGUGCUCACCUCUGAUCAGAUCUGUGCCGUGUCACUGGGAUGUGCUUGGAGGCAGCCUGCUGCUUUCAUGUAAAAUCGGGGUUUACCCACUGCAGAAUGUGGGGGGUCCCAGCCCAACCUGGCUCUCUUUGCUCCCCGCUGUUCUAACCAACUGUUCUCCAUCUCAGAGGACAGAGCAAACAGGAGGGGUUUUGCUUUGGGUAGCAGCAGCUCUCGUGAUCUUUGGAGCUGUGUGAGCAUGCCAUCGCACUGCAUGCCUUCAGUUGUGCUCUCACAUGCAAUGGUGCCGUGUGGAAUUAAAGCAUCCAGCUGUGCUACGCAGCUUCUGCUGCUCUCACUCUCCUGCUCCACCUGCUCCACUCCCUCUGAACCAACUUCAUGCUGCUGAGGAUAUUCCAGCCAAGGCCACGCUGUGCUGGAGGAGGCGGGAUGGCCGCUGUUGUCCUCAGCAGCUUGGGCAGCUUGGAUCCAUUCUUGGUCGAAAAGCUUUGCUGUCAAAGAGAUUCAGUGCUUGGAGAAUGCCUAUGGGCAGUGCUAUGAAGCAGGCUGCUGGGAUUCUGGUUUCUUGCUCAGGUUGGAAGGAGAGACAAAUGAUACAUGGAAGUCUUUUAAACACGAAGUGAGGUGAAAUCAAUGCAUAUACGGCACCUACGAGAGCCUUUGAUUCCUAAUUGCAGACUGUUAUAAAGCUGUUGGCAUGCAUUUUAUUUCUAGAGUCUCUUCUAAAUGAAGCACGCACCUCUAUAGAGCAGAUUGAUGGAGUUGCUGUGCUGUCCUGGCUGUUCACUGACCUUAGGGUACUGCUGGAGGCAUGAGCUCAGGAAUCAAAGAGCUCUGCAUGCUUCUCAUACCAGCAGAAUGGUACCAUGAAGGCUGGUUUAGAGGCAUCAUAAGUUAAUGACCAGCCAGUAUUUUAGAUUUCAAGCCCUAUAGGACGUAGUUUAAACUACCUGUGGAGGUCACUGGAAACUCCUCACCAGUUUUUGCCUUUCAGGACGUGCUGUUACUGAUAGUAACUUCAUAGGAAAAGCUCAUGUUAAACAAUACCCCAUAGGAUUGUUGGGGGGGAAUUUUCAUGGCAGUCUUUUUGUAUCUCUGCAGCCCAGAACUUGCUUUUCCAUCUGGUGGAUGCUCACCUGACAGCUGCACAAAGCUCCUCAACCUCUGCCAGAAAUCCUCAAAGUCCAAAGGACUCAGCCUGAAUCUGCUGAACAACUUAAUGGAAUGGGUGCUGCUCUGGAGGAAGCCAGCUCAGCCAGCUGUGAUGUUCGCCCAUGCGGAGCUCCUUGUUGUUCUCAAAGCUCUGCCUCAAGAAAGCGAGUGAAGCUGGAUUUAUGAAGAAUGGAGCUCAUCAGGUGGAAUCUUCUCUUUAGUUUGUAAUUCACUUCAGUUUGUGCUGGCUGAAAAUUCCAGGGCAGCCAGGCUGCAAGACCUUCCCAGCUGAAUCUGCAGCAAUAACAUGGGGCAGGAGCACAGCAGCCUUCACCCCACAUUGAUCUGCAGCCUCACGCUCCUGCUCCUUGGGUCUAAGAUGCACAGUGCAGGUUGGGCUGCAGGGCAGAUGCUGCAAGGAAAUGUUUAAAUCCAAAGCUCAAAUUUGUUCCCAAUUAGUCCUAAAAAAAAAAAAACCAAAAACCAAACCCAACCACCACCACCCAUCAUAACAAAUAUCCAUAGUAACAUCUCUGUUUAGGUUUGUUUUCUGAUGUCACCUCGGCUCCCUGCCAGCAUGCCUGAAUAUCUCCUUGUGCCUCGUGUGCUAUUGUUUGCUGAGGUUGGUUCUGCACACGUAUGCAUGAAUGCUUUGGAAAUGGCUUUGUUUUUCUUUUCUUUAGGAAUGUGUUCCAAACAAACACCCCGGAGCAGCAGCGCAGAGGUUUGCUUACACUGCACUGCGUUACUCUCGGUGUCAUUUAUCACUCUCCAGGUGGAUCACCCAGGGUUGGGAAGCUCCUAGGACCUGCCAGGCACUGACACAGCUGUAGAGACGUUUCAUUCCUCUGAUUCUGCAGCCCUCGGCGAUGUUGGUUGGUGGUUUUGUCUCCUCACAGCUAUAAAGAGUGACAAAUUCAUUCACUGAGCCUGCAGGCUUGAAAGCCAAGAUAGAAAUGUGCCAGUGCAUUGGGUGGAGAGGAAUAUCCUGGCUACAAUGGAUUUACUUCUUUAGGAAAAGAAUCGCGGGUCAAAAUGAGAGGCUUUUGCAAUGGGAGCCCCCUAUGGGCUCCCAGCUGUUUUAGCAGGCAGGUGAGCACAGGGUGCAGUUAUUAAUCAUUGUAUGACAGCAAUGCAAGCAAUCUUAAAAUGAGUCAUGGUUGUAGCUGUCUAGAAAUACAGAGGUGAAGUGCAGGCUUCCUCAGUAUAUACAUAUUUUAGUGUGAAUUUGAAUAGAUGGAAGACAAUGUAUCUCUUUUGAGACAUCAUCGCAGUGUGUGUGUGCUGCUGAAUGCCUGUCUGCCCUAUGACUCUUUUCUGUGUCAAUCUCACCCGGCUCUUUUAAAUACAGACGUCUUCCUGCUGCAGCAGCCACGCAGCAGCUCAUCCUCCCCAAAAUCGCACCGUUCUGCAGCCAUCAGCCCGCUGUGAGGAGCAGCAGGGCUGUGACCAGCAUGCAGCUCUGCCCGGCGCUUUGCUUCGCAGCAGCUGAGCCAUCAUCCUCCGUAAGGAGAGCAGAGCAGGUGUGAAGCAGGGGCUGUGUUUGUUUUUAUAUCCCAUGCAGAGUCCUGCUGGAGAAUCUGAUCUUUGCACCGGCUCCAUUUCUCUGCCCCUGUCCUCCUGCUGCACUGAUGGGGUUAACGAGACAUGGGGAUGGCUCCCAUCUAAUCACAUUUCAGCUGAGAUCAUGCCGUGCUGGGAGGAAAGGCAUCGAGUUGAUUCAAUUUGCUCUGCAAUGGCACUGCAUCAGUACCAGCGUGUGCCUGGCGAUGAAGCAUUGCUUAUCAGCCUGGAAGCUCCCAAGGGAAGCAGAGAAAUGGCUCAUAGAGUGGAAAUUUAAGGUCAUCUUUUGGUAGCGUCCCACCUGGAUAGCAUCACUCUUUCCAGCAGUGUGGGGCUGUAGCUUCAACUUUAACACUUCUUCUUUCUGCACCAGCUCCAUUCAAAGGGGGUGAGUUCGAAACGCAUGGAGCUGCUUUCGUGCUGCAGAGCCUCACUGUGUCUGCUUUGCAGUUCAUCAGAGCAGCUCACAAAGUUUCCAGCAUGGAGCUGGCGUUCCCACAGGGCUUCAGCCAUGCCAAGAGCCCGGAACUGUGCAGAGGGAGCAGUGCACUCCGUGCUGCCAGACACUGAUUGCUUCUCUUGGCCUCAGUUUCUGAUUUAUUUAUGUGAACUUCAUGACACCCGAGCAAGGAGCCCAGGAAGGCAUCAGAUCAAACACAGGCUGACUUCAUUGGGCUAAAAACGUCUCAGGCUGCCCAUCGUCAGCCACGUUACCCCUUGGAUCUGUGCUGACCAAGGGGACGUGCUGGAUCCUGCAGUGAAGGAGGUCGCUCCCAUGCACCCAUCAAGGCCAAAAAUGUGUCUUUAUAAACGAUGCUCCAUUUCAGUGACGUGGCCACAAGGAAGAGGUUUUGUUGCUUCCCUUGGAAGUGGUCAAAGUUAGCAUCCAAGGACCGAAGUCAGCUGGUCUGUUUGUCUUCAGAGAGGAUGGCUUCAUCUUUCCUGAUACUUCAGGGAGGUGCUGGAGAACCUGGAGGUGCUUGGGAACAGUGGGGGUGUGGCACUGAGGGCACAGUGGGCACAGUGGGGGUGGGUCAAUGGUUGGACUGGGUGAUCUUAGAGGUCUUUCCAACCAUAAUGGUUCUGUGUUUCAGGCUUUGAGUUACAUCUGAGCUUGUCUGAAACCUCAGUUUUUCAUGGUCUUUUUUAACCUCCGUUGCAAGGGGGAAGGCCUCUUGCCCCCACCCUACUGAGGCCCUUUUCCCUAUGGAAGCUCAUAGCCCAGGGUCCUGCCUUCUGCUCAGGAGAGCCUUGGAUCUGCUUGAGCACAGGAAUGAGCUUGCAGAAAGAGAAGAUAAAUUAAUGAGCACCAUGACUGCUGGUGUCAGCAGGUACAGAACUACUGGUACCAGUGAGCAGGAAUGGAGGACUCCAUGAUCCUGAUCUCUUCCAACCCGGGAUAUUCUGUGCUUCUGUGUCUCCAUGCAUUCUUUACCAUGUUCCUGCUGCCCUGAAGGCUUUGCCCUCUCUUUGCCUCCACCACCAGCCAGUCCUCCUGCUUCCCUUGGGCUGACAGUGACACGCUGUGCAUUUGCUCUUGCCAUCCCAUAUCCUCUCCCAAGCCAAGGGAAAGGAACGUGUGGAAAGGGAAAAAAAUGGGCUGCAAGCUUAGUGCUGGGACCUCGAUAAAUGCAAGUGACAUAAAUGCUGGCUGAGACACCUUCUGCCUGCUGGCUCCUCUGCUGCUAGGGAGUUAUGCUGGCUGUGAAGUAGCUUUCUGGAGCUGGUGUGGAGCCAACCUUGGAGCAAAUGCUUGGCCAGAGCCAAUUCAUUAGCAAAGGGAAGUGGCUGCAAGCCCCCCAUUUAGGCUGUGUCACUUCACAUGGCUGAAGGCAGCCCUGCUGAUGAUGUCUCAAGCCCUCUGCUGCCCCAGCAGCCCGUGGCACCACGUCAGGCUUCACUGGUCAGCCCCAACCUGGUGGCCUGACAAGUUUUCCACCCACCCAGCCAUCCUGUUCUUUGUGUCUCCUGGAGCAAACCAUGCUAAUGCCACACUGAAGUCUACAGUCAUAGAAUCAUUAAGAGAAAAGACCACUAAGAUAAUCACAACCAACCACACUCCUCCCCUUGGCUACCCACCACUUUGUUGUAGAAGGCCAUGGGGUUGCUCAGGUGUGCCAUGCCCUUGUAGGUCCUUGGUGGCCGUUCCCUGUCAUCUGCGUGUCCUCCACCUGCCCAGAAUCACCUCCCAGGAGCGUUUGCCCCACCACCUUCCUGGGGACUGAAAAGCUGCUCUCCAGAUCCUCCUCCUUAC